GGCAGUUCUCGGGUUACACACCCUGGAAUCGGGCUCUCUCCUCUCUGGUUCUGGGUGUGUCACCAGAGAAUCACA
rfam:Myotis brandtii contig205556, whole genome shotgun sequence.